rnacentral:lncRNA from 1 species
UUCCACUUGACCAUUAUAGAUUCCUCUGUAGGAUUGGUGAAGAUUUUUUUCCCAUUCUGUAGUUUGCUCAUUUGUUCUAUUGAUGGUGUCCUUUGCCUUUCAGUUUUAUGUGGUCUCAUUUAUUAUUGAUCUUAGUACCUGACCUAUGGCUGUUCUAUUCAGGAAGUUAUCUCCUGUACCAAUGCAUUAAAGGCUAUUCUCCACUUUCUCAUCUAUUUAGUAUAUCUGGUUUUAUGUUGAGGUCUUUGUUCUACUUGGACUUGUUUUGUACAGGGUGAUCAAUAUGGAUCUAUUUGGAUUCUUCUACAUGUAGAUAUCCAGUUAACAACCUUUUGUUGAAGAAGUUCUCCACUAUGUUCAUAGCAGCUUUAUUUAUAACAGAAGCUGGAAAGAACCCAGAUGUCCCUCAACAGAGGAAUGGAUACAGAAGAUGCUUUCUCUUUUUCAUUGUAUGGUUUUAACUUCUUUGUCAAAAAUCAAGUGUCUGUAGGUGUGUGGCUUUAUUUCUGGGUCUUUGAACUGGAUUCCAUCGAUCAACCUGUCUGUUUUUAUGCCAGUACCAUGUGGUUUUUAUUACUAUUGCUCUUAGUACAGUUUGAAAUUAGGGAUAGCGAUACAUCCAGAAGUUCUUUUAUUGUACAAGAUUGUUUUAGCAGUCAUAGGUUUUGGUUUUACAUGUGAAGUUGAGAAUUGCUCUUUCAGAUCUGUAUUGCUGGAGUUUUUAUGGGAAUUGCAUUGAAUUUGUAGAUUGCUUUUGGUACUAUGUCCAUUUUACUAUAUUGAUCCUACACCUAUCUCUAGGAGUGUGGGAGAUCUUUCCAUCUUCUGAUAGCUUCCUUAAUUUCUUUCUUCAGACUUGAGAUUCUUAUCAUACAGGUCUUUCACUUGCUUGGUUAUAGUUACACCAAAAUAUUUUUUAUAUUAUUUGUGACUAUUGUGAAGGGCUAAUUUCUUUCUCGGCUCUUUUAUCAUUUGCAUAGAGGGCUACUGAUAUUUUUUUAAUUUGUACCCAGCCACUUUGCUGAAAGUGUUUAUCAGUUGUAGGAAUUUUCUGGUAGAAUUUUGGGGGGGGGGUCACUUAUGUAUAUACUAUCAUAUCAUCUGUGGAUAGCAAUAUAUUGGCCUCUUUCCAAUUUGUAUCCUGUUGAUCUUCUUUAGUUGUCGUAUUGCUCUGGCUAGAACUUCAAGUAUAUAGGCGGACUCGUUGAUCUUCUAAGGGACCUCAUUUGAUUUCCAGCACCCAUAUGGUGGCUCAGAACGGCAGACACUCUGUUUUAGCUUCUGCAUGCACUGUGAUACAAACACAUAUAUGCAGGCAAAAACAAACAAACC